GCACGUUGGUUAGUCACAAUGUCACCACUGGGGAUUGGCACUGUGACUUAUUUUACAUAUUGGGAAACUGAGACAGAGAUAAGGAGUUUGCUCAAGCUCACAGCCGACAUUUGAAUCGCGACAUUGAAUCCCUUGCGGUAGUUAGCGUACAGUAGGCUAUGAAUGCACUGAUUUCUGUUUUGUGUGUGCAGAAGGUGGGAAGUAGAAAGCCAUGGUGAAGGAGGAGGGUGGGGAGAGGCAAGAGGGAUAGGACUGGACGGGUACAUAGGAGGGCUUUCCUUGGUAACCGCUUGCACCUUAGCGUUAUGCCUUCCUGUGAAAACCCCGGGGCUUCCGAUUCUAUUCCGAAGGGCAUUUAAACAUGCAUGUUUAUGGGUCACCUUCCCUGGGAAGAGAGCAUAGGCACACCCAAGAGGUCUUGGUGCCUGCUAAUCGUUAACUCGAUGGUCAAAUUCAUUUUGUAGGUUUCAGUUUUCUCAUCGUAAAGAGGAGGCAGUGUUGUUGCUUGCCUGUUCCUUGACUUGAUUCUUCAGUUGCCGCAGUGUAGGCAGAACGGUUCAGAAUGUCCCAAUGUUGAUCAUUGUUUCUCCUUUCUUUGGUCAUGUGUGUCUUCAUCCAAAAAAAAAAAAAAAAAA
rnacentral:lncRNA from 1 species